CUUUAGCAAACUAAUACAAGCAAUGAGCAUUUUGUUUCAUCAGCCUCAGAUACCUCCUGAUUUGGUUCGGUCAGCCAUUUUAAAAUGUAUAUAUCAAAUGCUUACUGGGUUUGACAAGUUUCUCAUAAAUUCCAAUUUUUAAAAAUAAAAGGUUUCAGUGAAAACAAGACAAAGCAAAAACUGAACGUUGGUGAACAAUUCCCCCAAGUACCUAUUCACACAGUGUCCUUGGAGUUCCACUCUCAUUUCAUUAGAAAAGAUGCAGAUGGUGGGUAAUAGCUCAGUGGUAGAGUGCCUUGCUUAGCAUGCACGAGGUCCUGGAUUCUGUUCCCCAGGACCACUACUUGAAAAAGAAAAAGAAAAAGAAAAAAGAAGAUGCAGUGGUAUUGGGAAGAUACCAAAAAAGUCAGUGAAGGGAGUCUUGUCCUCAUCUGCAAAUUAAGAACUGAGCUAGACAGUUUCUUGGUCUUUUCCAGUUCUGAAAUGCUAUAGUUCUGGCCCUGGAUUUAUUCAUUAAUUGAAUGCCUAACAUAAAGCGCUGUUCUUGCCAUGGGGAUAGAGUAGCAAACAAAACUGACAAAAAUCCCUUCGUUCAUAUAGUUUAUAUCCUAGUGAAAGGAGACAUAUGAUAAGCAAAAUAUAUAUUGAAUUAAGUGGUAGUACGUGCAAAAGAUAAAUGAGAGAAAUGGAAAGAAGAAAAACAAAAGUAAACAUUGCUAGAAACAGCUUUUUCAAGCCAUGCUAAAACGGAUAAGGACUGAGAAUUCAGAGUACCAGUGUGAAGAGACCUUGGGACACAGGAAUCCCCAGGGCGGUAACACCUGGUGCGCAUGCGCAUUGGGGUGUCGCGGACUAGGUGCUCUCAGCGAGGCGGCUCAGAAGCGCAUGCUCGCGAGCUCGCGCGUGCAUGAGUCUCGCGUGCAUGAGCCCCGCGAGCCAACGUGCGCGCGUCCGGUGUUCGGAGGUGGUUGAUUUACGCGAGUUGGUGAGGCGCGAUUCGGGGUGACUUUGGGGAAAGCAUGCGAUGAAAGGAAGAUUCUGGGAGCUCUUCUAACUCCAAAAGGGCCGUGGCGACUGCUGCGGGCCAGCUUCACGGACCUAGCUGGCAAAGGCUCCGGGAGGCCUCUCGGCCUGCCUCCAGCCUGUCCACCAAGCCUGCGCAGGCCGGGGUUUCGGGUUGGCUGGGGAGGGGGCGGGGGUGCAGCCUGAGCCUGGGGGUGCUCUGCGGUCGCAACACUGCUCCCCGAAGCUUUCUUAGCUCAGAACCCGGAUCGAAUCGGACCAUUUGUCUCAGGAGCUGUGGCCCUGGAAGAACUGGAGUGUAACCAGGAAAUCGUUGAGCUGGAGGCAAUUACUUCCAGUCAGAAAGAGAAACCAGUGCCUGGCAAUCUCACCAACUUUCUACCUGCCAUGAUCAAGUGCUUGUCAGUUGAAGCACAAGCCAGAUUGCGUUCUGGUUUGGCUAUAUGUUCCUUAGGCCAGUGUGUUGAAGAGCUUGCCCUCAACAGUAUUGAUGCUGAAGCAAAAUGUGUGGCUGUCAGAGUAAAUGUGGAAACCUUCCAAGUUCAAGUGAUAGACAAUGGAUUUGGGAUGGGAAGGGAUGAUGUAGACAAGGUGGGAAAUCGUUAUUUCACUAGUAAAUGCAACUCUGUACAGGACUUGGAGAACCCAAGGUUUUAUGGUUUCCGAGGGGAGGCCUUGGCCAGUAUAGCUGACAUGGCCAGUGCUGUGGAAAUUUCAUCCAAGAAAAGCAAGUCAGUGAAAACUUUUGUGAAACUCUUUCAGAAUGGAAAAGCCCUGAAAGCUUGUGAAGCGGACCUGACUAGACCAAGUGCCGGGACAACAGUAAUUGUACACAACCUGUUUAAUCAGUUACCUGUCAGGAGGAAAUGCAUGGAUCCUAGACUGGAAUUUGAAAAGGUUAGGCAGAGGAUAGAAGCUCUGUCACUCAUGCACCCUUCCAUUUCUUUCUCUUUGAGAAAUGAUGUUUCUGGUUCCAUGGUUCUUCAGCUACCUAAAACCAGAGAUGUAUGUUCCCGCUUUUGUCAAAUUUAUGGACUGGGUAAGUCCCAAAAGUUAAGAGAAAUAAAUUAUAAAUAUAAGGAGUUUGAGCUUAAUGGCUAUAUCAGCUGUGAAGCACAUUAUAAUAAGAAUAUGCAGUUUUUAUUUGUGAACAAAAGGCUAGUUUUAAGGACAAAGUUGAAUAAACUCAUUGACUUUUUAUUAAGAAAAGAAAGUAUUAUAUGCAAGCCAAGGAAUGGCUCUGCCAGUAGGCAAAUGAAUUCAAAUCGGUCUAACCCAGAAUUCCUCUAUGGUAUAUAUGUGAUCAAUGUGCAGUGCCAGCUCUGUGAGUAUGAUGUGUGCAUGGAGCCAGCAAAAACUCUGAUUGAGUUUCAGAACUGGGAUACUCUUUUGGUUUGCAUUCAAGAAGGAAUAAAACAGUUUUUAAAGAAAGAAAACUUAUUUAUGGAAUUAUCAAGUGAGGACAUUAAGGAAUUCAGUGAAGAUAAUGAUUUUAGUUUACUCAGUGCCACUCUUCAGAAGCAAGUGUCCUCUGAUGAGAAGUGUGACCAGGUCAGUUUCCAAGAAGCAUGUAAUAAUAUUUUGGAUUCCUAUGAAAUGUUUAAUUUGCAAUCAAAAGCUGUGAAAAGAAAAGCUCCUAUAGAAGACAUAAACACAGAGAGUUCUAGGGAUUCAGAUGCUGUCAGAAAAAAGGCAGAUUGUUCAUUUUUGUACACUUAUGAAUCAGAUGGCCCAGGCCAUAGUAAAAUGACCGAGUUGUCUUUACAGAACAAAGACAGAACUUGUUCAGAAUCAAAGACCUUAGAACAAGAGACAGCUGAAGCAUCAGAAUCAGGAGAAAAUGAGAAACCUAAAAAAUCUUGCUUGGAACUUAACUCUUUGGAAAAUCCAUGUGGAACCAGUUCAGAAAUGUCUGCAGGCCCUUUUCAGACAUAUCACUUUGAGGAGAGUGGAGAAGAUCAAGAAAUACAGACAGUGAGUACUGCUGUUAAUGGCACAGCUGUCAACUUCCUGAAAAAUAAUAGAAUUCAGAAUCAACCAGAGAGAUUUAAAGAUGCUACUGAAAUGGAAUGCCAACCUCUGGCUUUUGAGACAACAUUAUUGAGAGUACCCAGUGCUCGGAGAGAGGAUGAGAAAAGAAAAAAAGAACCUAGUAAUUGUGGAAGAACAAAUGUUUUUAGUUAUGGACAAGUUAAAUUAUGUUCCACUGGCUUUAUAACUCAUGUGGUACAAAAUGAGCAAACAAAAUCAACCGAAACAGAACAUUUAUUUAAAAACUGUGUUCAGCCUGGUCCUGUGAGUGCCAAAGAAGCAUUUGGAAAUAGAACACACCAUUCAGUUGAGACUCCAAACACCAAAGAUUUAACCAGCACUUUAAGUAAAGAAUUUGCUCAACUGCCCAACAAAAAACUGUGCAGAACAAAUACAAGUUAUAGGGUAGAGAACAAACCUAUAGCAACUUACAAAAAUUUUGCUAUUUUUCAGGAAGGUAGUAAAAAAUCACAUACAGGUUGCCUUUUACCUGACCCAUCCUCUUUCUCUUGGUGUAACCCUGUUUCAAAUGGUAGUAAGAGAACAGAUGAAUUGAUGGGUUCCACCAAACCCAUAGCUCAUAAGAAGCUAAGCUUAAGUUCACAACUAGGAUCUUUAGAGAAGUUUAAGAAGCAAUAUGGGAAGGUUAAGAAUCCUCUGAAUACUGAAGUGAAGGAAAAUAAUUUAGAAAUCACUACCAAUCUCAGUCCUCAGGUUGAACCUGACAUUCCAUGGAAAGACAAAAACCACGUAGACAACUCUGGUAUUUGUAAAAUCACUACUGUGAAACAUGAUGAUUCAAAUAGUUGUCACCCACCAAGUCACAUGUUUUUUUCAGAAAAGUUUCUGUUCUCCAAGGAAGAAGAUUGUUUGGAACAACAGAUGCCUUGCUUAAAAGAAAGUCCUAUAGCUCUAAAGGAGUUACCUCAUUUUAACAGAAAGCCUUUGAAUGUUGAGAACUCACCUGAAUCACUAGCCUCUAAAUUAUCCAGAAUGAAGGGUCCUGAAAGAGAGACUCAGACAACUGAGAUGAGGAGUCAUUUUAACGAACUUCCACAAUCAGAUUCCAGUAGGAAAGACAGUGACUUGUGCAGUGGGUUAACCCUAGAUUCUUGUAACUUAUUUAAAAAUGAGCAUAAAAAAACAGAAAAUGGCAUCAUCCCAAUGUCAGACUUUGGCACACAGGGUAAUCCCUUCAAUAGUGACAGUGAAAUGCAUUCUAACAGCAAUACAACAGAGAACCCUGUGAUACCAGAAACUCCUUUGGUUUUGCCCUAUGAUAAUUCCACAGUUAACAGUAAAGUUUCAGAUGUUCUGAUAGCUGCAGAACAACAGAUUGGAAAUCCUGACUCUCCAAAUAGAAUGUUAAUGAGUCAAGUAGAAGAUGCCACAGCUGCCCAAAAUGGAACUUGUUUUCAGAGUGAAGAAUCUAUAGCAAGAGCUUGUUCUGGAAAUGAAGAGUCCAGCACAUGUUCUUCAGGUUGGCAGCAGCAUUUUGACGUAGCCCUGGGAAGGAUGGUCUACAUCAACAAACUCACUGGACUUAGCACAUUCAUUGCUCCUACUGAGGACGUUCGGGCUGCUUGUACUAAAGAUCUGACAACUAUGGCUGUGGAUGUUCUACUCGAGAAUGGAUCUCAGUACAGGUGUCAUCCUUUUAGAAGCGACCUCGUUCUUCCUUUCCUUCCUAGAGCUCCGGAAGAGAGGAUUGUGAUGAGACAGAAUAACAGAGAUACUGGAGGUGAUGCUGUGGGUCGCGAAUCGCUUCAGUCUUUGUUCUCAGAAUGGCACAAUCCAGUAUUUGCCCGUUAUCCAGAGGUUGCUGUUGAUGUAAGCAGCGGCCAGGCUGAGAGCCUAGCAGUUAAAAUUCACAACAUCUUACAUCCUUACCGCUUCACCAAAGAAAUGAUUCAUUCGGUGCAGGUUCUCCAGCAAGUGGAUAACAAGUUUAUUGCCUGUUUAAUGAGCACUAAGACUGAAGAGAAUGGUGAUGAAGUCGUCCUUGCUGAUCUUCUAGGUGGACACCUGCUAGUCUUGGUGGACCAACAUGCUGCCCAUGAGCGCAUCCGAUUGGAGCAGCUUAUCAUUGAUUCCUAUGAGAAGCAACAGCCACAAGGCUCUGGUCGAAAAAAGUUAUUGUCUUCCACUAUAAGUCCUCCACUAGAGGUAACAGUGACAGAGGAACAAAGGAGACUCUUACGGUGUUACCAGAAAAACCUGGAAGAUCUGGGCCUUGAAAUCAUAUUUCCAGAUGCUAGUGAUUCUCUGGUCCUUGUAGGAAAAGUACCACUCUGUUUUGUAGAAAGAGAAGCCAAUGAACUUCGAAGAGGAAGAUCUACUGUGACCAAGAGCAUUGUGGAGGAAUUUAUUCGAGAACAAGUGGAGCUACUCCAGACCACAGGAGGCAUCCAAAGGACUUUGCCACUAACUGUCCAGAAGGUGUUGGCCUCCCAAGCCUGCCAUGGGGCCAUUAAGUUUAAUGAUGUCCUGAGCCUAGAGGAUAGCUGUCGCCUCAUUGAAGCUCUGUCCUGCUGCCAGCUGCCGUUCCAGUGUGCUCAUGGCAGGCCCUCCAUGCUGCCAUUAGCUGACAUUGACCACUUGGAGCAGGAAAUCCAGGUUAAACCCAAUCUUGCUAAACUUCGCAGAAUGGCCCAAGCGUGGCAGCUCUUUAGAAAAAAAGAAGGAUGUGAUACAAAGCAAAGCCUACAGACAUCCAUGCCUCCUUGUGAGCCCUCGUGAGAACAGAAUUAUUGUCUCUAAGGAACCAAAAGGAUGCUGACUGUAGGCCUCUAAGUGGAAAGGUGAACAGCAGGCACCGGCAGUCUUGACUGAAUGGUUCCAGUGCACCUGCUUAGCAUAUCUGUCUUCCUUGAGCAGAUUGACUUCCUCCAGUCAGGCACAAGUGUACAAGAGGCAGCGGCUGGAGCUGGUGUCCCAGGUGGGCGUGGGCCCUGCAGCUCCAAAACCUCCGCCUGCCUGCGCGGGAGCUGUCAGCUCUAUACUGCUCUGUCACAAGCUUGUUGAUCAUGUGAAAAUUCUAGAAAAGGGCCCCUUGACAAGACAUCUAAAAACGCUGGAACUGGAUUGGUGGUGGCUCCAGCAUGUGGAUGUAAUGAAAUUACAGAUUCAAGUGGAUGAAAGGGGAAGACCGUGGAUACCAGGUUUAAAAGAUUUGGCUGUGGUUCUGCAAUGGCCUCCAGGUGGUUAGCCAUUGAAUAGGUUAAAGGGAAAAUGGUAGUGGAAGCCUUGACAUCAAAACCCAUACAGUAAAAUGACUAUACUUCAAUAAACAAACAAACAAACAAACAAAACUGGAUAUAGCCAAGGAACUCUGCCUUCCUCCUGUGCCUGCACUGUUCCCUGCUGGCUAAAGGUGCAGUCAAGGCUUCCCUGGCUGAUUACACAUGGAAACAAGAACCCAAGAAAGCAGAAGUGAAGAAGAAAGGAACCCUUGGCCAAGCCUCAGUCCGGUAGGUCCUAUCAGCUGUUUGCUCCCCCUCCCCCCAUGGUAAAAGAACUAGAGAUACACACCACAUUUGUUGUUCACCUUGUGGCUCUAAUGCAAGCACAAUACAGUUUAAUUGUUCUGAAUCCUGUGGUUUCUUUCAGCCCACUUUUAUCACCUUAAGCCAGUUCAUGUAUAUUUUAAAUUGUGUGUAUGACCUCAAAACUGAAAUCAGUAAUGAAAUCUCAAGUUUUUGGUAGUCCAUGAAAUGCACAAAUAUCUAAUUUCACCUGAAUUUGUUUUGGGGAAGAUUACCAAUAGAGUGUAUGAUUAUUUGAUAGAAACAAUCAUUGUACAUAAAACAUACUUGCAUAUGUAUAGUAAAUAAAAGAAUGUAAGAAAAAAAUAAAACCCCCUCUUUCAGAGACUGAUAUUGUUCAUAUCCCAAACCAGUAAUAUGGUGAAAGUACUAUGAGCUUG